AGCCUCUGUGACACUGAGAGGCAGCUGGUAACCUGCGAGCUGAGUUCCUGGAGAUCUCAGGGACUGUAUGAAGACUGGCAAGUUGUUGGCUUCAAAGACUUGGUCGUGGCUGAGAUGUUAGUUUACAAGAGGUACCAAUCAUUUCAACCAUGCCUCAUUAGGGCACCAUGUUUUGUCAGAUAUUUUAAGUACAAUAAAUGUUCACAGAUGUCACAUCUCAAGUUUACAUUCCCUUGUAUGCAUUAAGCCAGCACAAUUCCCAAAAAUAUGGUCGCAAUGAAAUGACACAAGUGACAACCUGGGAAGCCUACAGGGGCUACCUGUGGACACAGGUGAGUGAAAGAUGGGAGCUGCUGGGAAAGCCUCUUUCCUGUGUAUGUGACCUGACAGCAUGAAUCUGGGA
ensembl:lncRNA